rnacentral:rRNA from 1 species
GUGUCAGCCGCCGCGGUAAUACAGAGGUCCCAAGCGUUGUUCGGAUUUACUGGGCGUAAAGGGUGCGUAGGUGGUGGGGUAAGUCGGAUGUGAAAUCUCCGAGCUCAACUCGGAAAGUGCAUUGGAAACUACCCUGCUCGAGGGUUGGAGGGGGGACUGGAAUACUUGGUGUAGCAGUGAAAUGCGUAGAUAUCAAGUGGAACACCAGUGGCGAAGGCGAGUCCCUGGACAACUCCUGACACUGAGGCACGAAAGCUAGGGGAGCAAACAGGAUUAGAUACCCUGGUAGUCCUAGCUGUAAACGGUGCACGUUUGCUGUAAAAGGAAUCGACCCCUUUUGUGGCGUAGCUAACGCGUUAAACGUGCCGCCUGGGGAGUACGGUCGCAAGAUUAAAACUCAAAUAAAUUGACGG